rnacentral:rRNA from 1 species
GACGAACGCUGGCGGCGUGCUUAACACAUGCAAGUCGAACGGAAAGGCCCUGCUUUUGUGGGGUGCUCGAGUGGCGAACGGGUGAGUAACACGUGAGUAACCUGCCCUUGACUUUGGGAUAACUUCAGGAAACUGGGGCUAAUACCGGAUAGGAGCUCCUGCUGCAUGGUGGGGGUUGGAAAGUUUCGGCGGUUGGGGAUGGACUCGCGGCUUAUCAGCUUGGUGGUGGGGUAGUGGCUUACCAAGGCUUUGACGGGUAGCCGGCCUGAGAGGGUGACCGGCCACAUUGGGACUGAGAUACGGCCCAGACUCCUACGGGAGGCAGCAGUGGGGAAUAUUGCACAAUGGGCGGAAGCCUGAUGCAGCAACGCCGCGUGCGGGAUGACGGCCUUCGGGUUGUAAACCGCUUUCGCCUGUGACGAAGCGUGAGUGACGGUAAUGGGUAAAGAAGCGCCGGCUAACUACGUG